rnacentral:rRNA from 1 species
AGCAGCCGCGGUAAUUCCAGCUCCAAUAGCGUAUAUUAACGUUGUUGCAGUUAAAAAGCUCGUAGUUGAUGUGUGGGUGAUCGCUGUUGUGAGACUUCGGUCUCUCGACAGUAAGUCACCCCCUUCCAGUAUCCAGUAGUGGGUAUUCACUUACUUACUAUUGUGUGUUGGUCCUUUACUGUGAGAAAAUUAGAGUGUUCAAAGCAGGCGUUUGCUUGAAUAGAUUAGCAUGGAAUAAUAAUUGAAGGCUUUCGUGUUCGAUUUGAUUGGUUUGUUCAUGGAAGCAAGGUUAAAAGGAACAGUUGGGGGUAUUCAUAUUCACUAGUUAGAGGUGAAAUUCUCGGAUUUAUGGAAGAUGAACAAGUGCGA